CAGCAUUCGAUAUAAACUUUUGGCAUAUUUUAUCAUUCUUUGUCAAACCUUCUGUUAACGUAGCAAAAUGGAGGCUAGGAGGUUCACUAUAGCUCUCUUCUUUGUCUUCUUACUCUCAAAAUCCUACGCUUUGUCCUCUAGAAAAGAUGGAGCUCGAAGCCCCUGUAAAAAAUUAGUCUUUUAUUUCCACGACAUUAUUUACAAUGGCAAGAACUCCAAAAAUGCAACUUCUGCUAUUGUGGGUGCACCAGCUUGGGCUAACAAGACCAUCUUGGCUGGCCAGAACCAUUUUGGUGACCUAGUUGUGUUUGAUGAUCCCAUUACACUAGAUAACAAUCUACACUCAACACCAGUUGGCCGUGCACAAGGGAUCUACUUAUAUGACAAGAAAGAAAUUUUCACAGCUUGGCUAGGCUUCUCCUUUGUUUUGAACUCUACUGAGCAUAAGGGAAGCAUCAACUUUGCUGGGGCUGAUCCACUGAUGAACAAGACUAGAGAUAUUUCAGUGAUUGGCGGUACGGGUGACUUCUUUAUGGCCAGAGGAAUAGCCACUUUGAUGACUGAUGCAUUUGAGGGUGAAGUUUAUUUCAGGCUUCGUGUUGAUAUUAACUUGUAUGAGUGUUGGUAACAAGAAUAGUUUGCUUGAGUUAUUUGCCACUACCUUCUUUUGGCUCAGCAUCUCCUUUAACGUAAAGGGUUUCAGAAAUGAAAUAAAUUUUAUUACGAGUCUUUGGCCGCUUCAAAUUCUUUACUUUAAAUCUAAUUAUUUGAUCCGAUACAUCAGUAAUUCGUGGGAAGAAGGAGAUUGUAUUAAA
rnacentral:misc_RNA from 1 species